UGGGUACCUGCCUCCCAGUGAGGAAUACCGGCGAGAAAUCGCCGACAAGACCGCAUAGCCUCUCUUCCGUAAGGGGAGAGAGGAAAGCCUUUCGCAAGAGUGGCGCUGGGAGAGGGGCCUGUGGCCGAUUAGCUAGCUGGUGGGGUAAGAGCCUACCAGGGCGACGAUCGGUAGCUGGUCUGAGAGGACGAGCAGCCACACUGGGAUUGAGAACGGCCCAG
rnacentral:rRNA from 1 species